rnacentral:rRNA from 1 species
UCGGGAGGCAGCAGUAGGGAAUCUUCCGCAAUGGACGAAAGUCUGACGGAGCAACGCCGCGUGAGUGAUGAAGGCUUUCGGGUCGUAAAACUCUGUUGUUAGGGAAGAACAAGUGCUAGUUGAAUAAGCUGGCACCUUGACGGUACCUAACCAGAAAGCCACGGCUAACUACGUGCCAGCAGCCGCGGUAAUACGUAGGUGGCAAGCGUUAUCCGGAAUUAUUGGGCGUAAAGCGCGCGCAGGUGGUUUCUUAAGUCUGAUGUGAAAGCCCACGGCUCAACCGUGGAGGGUCAUUGGAAACUGGGAGACUUGAGUGCAGAAGAGGAAAGUGGAAUUCCAUGUGUAGCGGUGAAAUGCGUAGAGAUAUGGAGGAACACCAGUGGCGAAGGCGACUUUCUGGUCUGUAACUGACACUGAGGCGCGAAAGCGUGGGGAGCAAACAGGAUUAGAUACCCUGGUAGUCCACGCCGUAAACGAUGAGUGCUAAGUG